UGAAAGUGCUAUAAAAUGUACCAGUUAGUUCUCGAAUCCCAUCACUUUAAAAGAAUUCUAACUAGUUCUGCCAGUAAUCAGCUCUCUUAUGGUCUACUCUUAGGUGAAGCUGAAGCUAACAAAGACCGCCAACAGCCAGGAACCUAAAAAUUCAGUGAAACUCUGCUUCAGCUUGCUGUGAUGUCAGAAAACAUGCAGGGCAAAGGAAUAUGAAGAAAGAGGUCAACAAGAUGACUACUGAGCAGAUAAAAGUCCUGGCUGAUAAGUUGAGGAUGAUCCCUGGCUUCACAAGAGGCUGCAAUCAAUGAAGACGACAGACAACCAAGGAGAAGUCAGUAAGGCACAGAGUACUUGAGACGGCUAAGAGUGAUUUGGAGAAAAACAACCUAGAAGUCAGAGGGAUGCUUUUGGUUUUCAAUGUGGUUGUCAGAGAAGGCUGUACCUUUGAACAUUUCCAUAAAGGAGAUGAGUUGGGGGCAAGCAAAUGAUACAUUUCUGCUGACAGCUUUCAGUAACCCAACAACAGUGGAACAAGAGACAGCGUUAUGGUAGACGAAACUGGCAAAGGGAGGAAGCAGACGCUGAGGACUGUUGAGGCGUUUUGGACUAUCACAGGAGAGAAGCCAAGUUUCAAGUGGUGGAGUGGUGUGUUCCAAGUUCCUUUCUGAAGGAUCACUAUAGUGGUUUGCAAAGAGGAAGGACGGCUUUGGGUAUCAAACGGGAUGUAGAGAGAAGCCUCCAGUAAUUCAGGCAAACAAGAACUUACGGGCUAGGUCCCUUUCAGUAGACCUGGAAUCCGCCUGCAUCCCUCGCUCUACUCGAACAGCACAUGCUCAGACAGGGAACCGACCCCAAGAUAAGGCUUGAGAUAUACUGGGUACCAUCAGAUGACCAUGCUUCCACAGAACCACCAAGCCAGGGCAAAUUUCAGGAAUAACUUCAGGAGUUGCAGAGUAAAGCUGAUGGAAAAGGGCCUCUUCAUGGACUAUUCUAGAACAAACCAGGAAAAGGGAACACAGGAAAGAAUGAACGACAAAAAGUUGUCAAACAGUGAAUAUCUGGGCAACAUGAAGAGAAGAGGACCAAGUCUAGUUCCCAGAACAAAUGCCUUCUCUUUGGGCUGAAACAUGAGUUGUGAAUUAAAGGAGAACACCCCCUUGCAUUACAAACCUCCAGCUUAAUUACAGUGAAGACUGGGGAAGAGAGAGGUGAGAAACAAAGUUGGGGAAUUACCUAUAUCUAAACAUGCUUUGAACCAGAGGAAGAAGUACAAGAGUGAUGGGUG
rnacentral:lncRNA from 1 species